rnacentral:tRNA from 1 species
GGCCUGUUAGCUCAGUCGGUUAGAGCGUCGUGCUAAUAACGCGAAGGUCGUGGGUUCGAUCCCCACACGGGCCA